ensembl:snRNA U6 U6 spliceosomal RNA
GUGCUCACUUCAGCAGCACGCAUACUAAAGUGAAACAAUACAGAAAGAUUAGCAUGGCCCCUGUGCAAGGAUGACAGAGAAAAAAAAAAUGCAAAAAAAAAAAAG